AUGAACGCUGGCGGCGUGCCUAAUACAUGCAAGUCGAGCGAACAGACGAGGAGCUUGCUCCUCUGACGUUAGCGGCGGACGGGUGAGUAACACGUGGAUAACCUACCUAUAAGACUGGGAUAACUUCGGGAAACCGGAGCUAAUACCGGAUAAUAUAUUGAACCGCAUGGUUCAAUAGUGAAAGACGGUUUUGCUGUCACUUAUAGAUGGAUCCGCGCCGCAUUAGCUAGUUGGUAAGGUAACGGCUUACCAAGGCGACGAUGCGUAGCCGACCUGAGAGGGUGAUCGGCCACACUGGAACUGAGACACGGUCCAGACUCCUACGGGAGGCAGCAGUAGGGAAUCUUCCGCAAUGGGCGAAAGCCUGACGGAGCAACGCCGCGUGAGUGAUGAAGGUCUUCGGAUCGUAAAACUCUGUUAUUAGGGAAGAACAAAUGUGUAAGUAACUAUGCACGUCUUGACGGUACCUAAUCAGAAAGCCACAGCUAACUACGUG
rnacentral:rRNA from 1 species